UACGAAGGGGGCUAGCGUUGCUCGGAAUCACUGGGCGUAAAGGGUGCGUAGGCGGGUCUUUAAGUCAGGGGUGAAAUCCUGGAGCUCAACUCCAGAACUGCCUUUGAUACUGAGGAUCUUGAGUUCGGGAGAGGUGAGUGGAACUGCGAGUGUAGAGGUGAAAUUCGUAGAUAUUCGCAAGAACACCAGUGGCGAAGGCGGCUCACUGGCCCGGUACUGACGCUGAGGUGCGAAAGCCAGGGGAGCGAACGGG
rnacentral:rRNA from 1 species